rnacentral:lncRNA from 1 species
CGUGUGCUGGGCUCACCCGGGACACCAGGGCCGGAGGGAGAGACCCGGGAAGUCACCGAGGCUGCAGGGGAGGCAGCUUUGGCGCUGGGCCUGCGGGAGCCUCUUGUAUAGGAAUUCAUAGCUACCGGGGUUACUGAGGAUGAGUUAGGCUUUGGAACCACAAGUAGAUUUAUUUUCCAAAGAAGAAGAAUAAAAUGGUGCAGGUGAAGAUGCGGAGGAACUGGAUGAGACGCAUAGGAACGCCACUGGGCAGCUCAAAGCGGUGUUCCUGUGAGUUCACCAUGGACCCCUUGAGCCACCGACGCCCCGCCCAGCCUUACACUCAGCAGAAACGCAUACAACAUGUGCUCCAAAAGACAGAAAGACAUGUAGCCGCACAUUCAUAAUUCCUCCAAUUGGGAAGCCUAGCGUCAUCAAGGCAGAUGAAUAUCGUGGAGUAUUCGGGCUUAGGAGCACGACAAACGGAACAGGAGUGAAUGAUCCGCAACUCACAUAACGGGGUGUCUUAUAAGUUUGAAGUUUGCAGAGAGCCCAGGAAAGCUUACCAAGGGGACCAGCAUGCUCACGCCUCUGAGGUUAAGGAGGCCCCUCAGGAAGAGGUGACAUGCGACUGGCCAGUGAAAGGUGAGCAGAGGUGGGAAGGGUUUCCUUGGUGGUGCCAGCUUUCCUGAUGUCUCUGCAAAAGUUUGGAGGCACCAGAGAUCCUGGUCCGUUUUGACUUUGGAUGGGGUGGGGUGCGGAAACAGCACAUCAGCAGAUGGCCCGAGGGAGGCAUUUCUGAGUUGGAACAGGUUGGGAACUCAUUACUACUUUGGUAUUAACUUAAUUCGUUUAAGCCAUCGGAGAAUGGGGUGCCCUGGAAGGAGUCUAGAUGACUAAGGGAAG